rnacentral:rRNA from 1 species
UCCUACGGGAAGGCAGCAGUGAGGAAUAUUGGACAAUGGGCGCAAGCCUGAUCCAGCCAUGCCGCGUGCAGGAAGACUGCCCUAUGGGUUGUAAACUGCUUUUAUACAGGAAGAAUAAGCCUUACGUGUAAGGUGAUGACGGUACUGUAAGAAUAAGGACCGGCUAACUCCGUGCCAGCAGCCGCGGUAAUA